rnacentral:tRNA from 1 species
CCUUCGAUAGCUCAGCUGGUAGAGCGGAGGACUGUAGGAGAGUUGUGCUGAAAUCCUUAGGUCGCUGGUUCGAUUCCGGCUCGAAGGA